UACAGAGGGGGCAAGCGUUGUUCGGAAUUACUGGGCGUAAAGGGCUCGUAGGCGGCCAACUAAGUCGGAUGUGAAAUCCCCAAGCUUAACUUGGGAACUGCAUCCGAUACUGGAUGGCUUGAAUCCGGGAGAGGGAUGCAGAAUUCCAGGUGUAGCGGUGAAAUGCGUAGAUAUCUGGAGGAAUACCGGUGGCGAAGGCGGCAUCCUGGACCGGCAUUGACGCUGAGGAGCGAAAGCUAGGGGAGCAAACGGG
rnacentral:rRNA from 1 species